AUCAUAUCAUGUAAGAGGACAGGAUCCAUCACAUAAGAUAAUGUUUUCUUUUUAAUAACAAUUUUUAUUUUUAUUUUUAUUUUUUGAGUGUGAUAUUUUAUUUUAUUUUUGGUUAAAUUAUGUAUAUUUCGGUUUCGUCGUUAUGCCGUGCAUUUUCUUGUACAAAUAUGUAAGGAUUCGAAGAAAAAAAAUUGUUGGUUGCUGGAAAAUUCGAAAAUUCUGGCGAGGCACCUGAAAACACGAACAACCAAUACCCAGCUCAAACACUCCGCACACUCCCACCCUCUUCACCAAAAAAAAAGAAAUGGCAAAGGUGAGCGAGAGAAGACGAACAACCGUCGAAGUUUUCGGCGAGCGCAAACCGGCAAAAUCAAACCAAACCUCUCCCUCUCGUUUUAAUAUUACCUUCAAUCUCCUCUUGAUGUACUGAAGGCAUGUCCAUAGGUUGGAGUUUCUUUUCCGUCAAGCAAUUGAGAAAACCCACAAGGGGGAAUGCUCUACAGGAUUUGUGAAGAAAGCUAGUCAAAAUUUUGGUCCAAAGCUGGAGAUAUAAGAGUCAUUCCAAGAACGGAGGAGAGAGAUGGAUCCGACAAGCCACAUGUCGACCGGCGAGUGGAACUAUGCGUACCACCAGGUGGAGGACCUACGUCAGGCGUCGGGUGGAGCCAUGCGUCGAAUGUCGCAUGGAGCAUCACAACUCCACCCGAUUUGCGACAUGCGGCUUCUGUCGUAAUUCCGACCUGCAACCCGUUGGCUCAACCAACCUGCGGUCCAACCCAAGUGAAUCGAACCAUCUGACCCGGCACUUACUCUCAUCCGUAGGAGGAGAGAGAUGGAUCUGACAAGCCACAUGUCGACCGGCGAGUGGAACUAUGCGUACCACCAGGUGGAGGACCUACGUCAGGCGUCGGGUGGAGCCAUGCGUCGAAUGUCGCAUGGAGCAUCACAACUCCACCCGAUUUGCGACAUGCGGCUUCUGUCGUAAUUCCGACCUGCAACCCGUUGGCUCAACCAACCUGCGGUCCAACCCAAGUGAAUCAAACCAUCUGACCCGGCACUUACGAAAUCGAUCCGACCGCGCGCAAGAACCCAACUCCACAGCCACGCCUCAGUAGCGUAUACGACUCAACUCCACAGCCUGCGACCCAGUGGCGUACACGACCCAAUUCAUCGACGCCUGCAACCCGCACAACCCGAGGACACGACCCGAAGUCCGCACCCGACACACUCUCAUCUCUCCAGCGACACUAUUGUGCAUGCAGAUGUCGACUCCUUCGGCUCACACGGCUCGUCAGCUCGACUUGGCUCCGUGGUGGCUCGACGCAGCUUCUCAGCUGAAAACUCGGUUUCUCGGCUUAGAUUACACAAUUUUAUACCAUUCCUUAUGUUUUCAACUCCAAAGCUGAAGUUGACCUUAAUUAAGGCAAUUGAGAUCAGUAUAGUGUCUCUUUUCCAAGUUUAAGGUGACUUAGGCUAGAAAUGUGAGAUAUGAACGUAAAUAAGAUGAACAUUCAAAUAGGACACAACUCCCGACAAUACUUGGAGCAGCUUCGAGGGACGAAAUUCAACCAACCAACUCUCUGUGUGCACGCACUCGCGUACGUGUGUAAUAAGAUGUUUUUAGUUUAAAUGUU